rnacentral:rRNA from 1 species
UACGUAGGGUGCGAGCGUUGUCCGGAAUUAUUGGGCGUAAAGGGCUCGUAGGCGGUUUGUCGCGUCGGGAGUGAAAACCCAGGGCUUAACCCUGGGCUGGCUUUCGAUACGGGCAGACUAGAGGUAUGCAGGGGAGAACGGAAUUCCUGGUGUAGCGGUGAAAUGCGUAGAUAUUGGGAGGAACAUCGGUGGCGAAGGCGGCUACCUGGACGGGUACUGACGCUGAUGCGCGAAAGCUAGGGGAGCAAACAGG